ACUCCACUGGCUUGGGUGGCAAAGAUCGUGAAGUCCUGGACAUUCAUCAACCUGCCGAGGAGGGCCGACUGACUGGAGCCAGGGUCUGUUUUCUUCCCCCCUUCUUCUCCCUCGCACCGUGUCAAUGGGAUCCAGUGCGACUGUGCCGAGGCAGCCGCCCCAAGGAGACAGACCCGGGUCAGUGCAAAUAAUCAGGCCUCUGACGCCUCGGCUCGUUACUGGACUAUUUGUGGGAAAGGCUCUCUGUCUGAUGAAGUCACAGCCCCUCCAUGAUCCGCACACUACCUGCACAUGCACAGCCUCAGCCAAGUGACGUUGGCAAAACAAACAAGGGGGCAGCAUGGACAGUGUCAGACUUCAGGAGCAACAAACGUGAACGGUUCAGCUUUCCCAUGCCUCCGUCUGACAGAAACAUGGCUGACCUUUAAUAACAUCGGAUGGGAGGAAACCGCAGUGAGGACCGGUCUCAAACAUUAGUCUGGACAUGAGGGCUUCUCUCUGUAAGUCAUCAGUAGCUUUCCUCUGACUGGGUCUCGGUGAUAAUGGCGCUGAGUCAGAGCCCAAGCUCCGAGCAUGGGAAAAUGUAAAGGGAGGAAUGUGCGGGGGAAACACUGUCUGCCCUGAUGGCACUCCAGAGUCUGCUCUGUGUCCUCUCUGCAAAGAGCUUUAUUAUGACUGAGGCUUCAUGUAUUUAUAUUAACUGAAUGAUGCUGAAGUAUUCCUUCAUUUUCUCUAUUCAUAUUCUGGUUUUGGCACUUUCUGUCUACUUCUUGUCACCAGUAUGAGCUGUUUGGACCGGAUAGCUGCUCUGUGAAACCGGCCUAUUUCAUUCUGAGGCUUGUUGAAUUCACUCAUUCUAUGAACUUAUUGUAUCAUUUUAUCUACUUGGAGCUGGACGAUUUGAUUUAAUGCAUGCUGAAAAAUCCCUGACUGUGACCUGCUUCUACAUUCAUGUCUCCAUUUUCAGCAGCGGAUAAAUUUCCCUGCAAAAGUAAUCAUUUAUUUUCACGUCGACGUCAUUCUUCUGCUCAUUUACCGUCCCGCCGCCAAGCGAACUGAGCUCAUUAUCCCUUUUGGACGAGGGGAUUCAGACAUUUUGCUGCACCUUUUGUGUGUGUUAACAGUCUCUGUCCCUCGCUGCUCAUCAGUUUCAGUUUUGAGAUCUCACUUCCAAAUAUCCUCCCCUGAACUCCCCCUCCACUUUUCUCUACCCCUCCUCCUCCACCUCCCUCAAGGCCUUGGGGGAGCUCAGCAGUACAAAUUUCCGUUUAUACCAGUGGCUGGGGCUGACGACACCGCAGCUCUCUACCCCACAGAUUGACGAGCCCUCGGAUGCCGAUUUACUGUACAUGGCAGCCACUCUGGAGCCGCCGCACAUCUGGAGUGGAGUACGCUUACUGAAAAACAGGGGCCAACCUUGGCCCAAACAAGUGUAGCAGAGCAAAACCGAUGAAAGGCAGCUCCCCCCUCCCCUCAGCACACACACAUCCUCAAAGCCUCCCCCUCCUCCAGAACACAGAUCUCUCAAGCUAUUACAAAGACCUUGGAAGGACUGGAUUCUGUAAACAAAAACUUGAGAGAGGCAUUAAGAGACAUGCUGGAGCUAAUGAUGUGAUGGUGGUGGGAAUGUGUUCACCGAAGCUGCUGAAAUCUACACGUUCAAAGUGUGACUGCCAGUGUAUGUGUGUGGAUUCUUGGAAAAACAUCGAACCUUCAGCUUUGACAAAGUUUGAAACAGGAACUUUUCAAAACUUUACAGAGGGAAAAAUAACUAAGAACAGAUUUGAAUAAUACAUAAAUUGUAUCUGACACAUUUAUUUUCUUUACAUUUCCAAGGAAUUAGUUUUAUUUGGCUUGUAUGCAGAACUAAAAAUACACAUGUAACAAAAUUACAGAAUGUAAAAUCAUGAAUAAUUAGAUACCAUAGAGAGUCAAAAUGAUUGCACAAACUGACAUCCAAAAACAACAUUAGAAAUAGCAGUUGGCUUCCUGUAGGAACCUCAUGUUUUGUAAUCUGCUCUUUUGCAAUUCACAGCUGACUUUGUUCCCCACAAGAAGGAAAGGUUUCAUAAAGCUGGUAGCAGGCCAAGUCAGGAAAAAAUGCUGUUAAAUGUCAAAAUACAACUCAUCAAAAAGGAGAAGUUUAAAAAAUGUCCUCUUUUUUUUAACAGUUUCUUUUUAAAUCAGUCAAUAAUUGUACUUCUUAGGCACAACACAGGGUUAAAAAGGGUUAAAUCUUUACAUUUCAAACCCAAAUACUCUUGAUUUUUCAAGAUGUUUUAUUCUCAUGAGUAAAACUCUAAAACAAGCUCUGCUCAGCUCCCAAAAUGUGCCGUACAUCCUGUCGGUAUUAAACCCUCAGAUCUGCCUGUAGCUGAGCUCAAACCGCAGAGACGGCGUCAGGAGUCUCUGCUGCUCACCAUAUUGAAAGUGUGUUACUGUGUUACUGUGUGUGUGUGUGUGUGUGUGUGUGUGUGUGUGUGUGUGUGUGUGUGUGUGUGUGUGUGUCUGUGUUUUCAGAGAGUGUCGCUGCGUCUGUGAGUGUGUGCGAGGUAAAAGUGUCAAGGAAUUCAUUGUCUGUUCUCCACCUGUUAUUAUUCUGGUCCCAAUCAACCUGCUAGCCAGUCUGGAGCCAGUGGCCAUCUGGAAACACUGCUCUGUUUAUAAACUUGGCAAGGAUCAGCACUCCGGGGCUCUGACCUCCCACACAAAUCUGGAAACAAUUAGAGCAAGACAGUCUGGCUGAUUACUGCGAAAAGGGCCCAGCGUGGAUCCCACUGACGUCUGUGGGGACGCCAGACCCUUGUUAGAGAAAAUGCAAACUCAGUACUACGCAAAAAAACGCCACACAUCAUUAUCACACAAACACACUUACACUUUUUUUGAUUGUUGGCCUUUUUUCAUCAGGAGUCUCUAUUUUUGCAUUCAUGACCUUUUUUCGUUCUCACAGACGGAUGGGCACAUUCAACCACCCACACGCACAAACAAACACUAUGUAUUGAUCUUUUUUUUUGUAUUGUUCAUGAGGGACUUGCACCUCGCUUUUAUUUUAAGGAAACCAGAUACGAUAGCCUCUGUCCACGUGUUGACUCAUGCUUGUGAAAGCUAAAUCUAUCGUCAGAGAACACAUUUGAGAGAAAUAUGAAUAAAAAAAGAAAGAAAUCAAUCUUUGGUUUGAUGUUUAAGAUCACUUUAACCUUGUCUUUUUAUGUUGCCACAAUAAAUUACCUUUUAAAAUCUCUGUCUAAUAUCAAAGUACUUCAGUGCCUUGGAUUCAACUCAAUUCGGUGACAGCUCAGAAAUGGGGUUUCCCGUGCAGAACAGCAGGGGGGUCACUUUGGAUCAUGACGUUAUUGAUCGCUUGUCUGACUGGCUUGGAUCCUUCAAGCAGUCACUAAGUCAAAGCAAUCAUUGCCCUGACAUGAAAUAAUAAGACCUCUAAUUG